GAGUUUGAUCAUGGCUCAGAUUGAACGCUGGCGGCAGGCUUAACACAUGCAAGUCGAACGGUAGCAGGAGAAAGCUUGCUUUCUUGCUGACGAGUGGCGGACGGGUGAGUAAUGCUUGGGAAUCUGGCUUAUGGAGGGGGAUAACUACUGGAAACGGUAGCUAAUACCGCGUAAUAUCGAGAGAUUAAAGACUGGGACCUACGGGCCAGUUGCCAUAAGAUGAGCCCAAGUGGGAUUAGGUAGUUGGUGGGGUAAAGGCCUACCAAGCCCGCGAUCUCUAGCUGGUCUGAGAGGAUGACCAGCCACACUGGAACUGAGACACGGUCCAGACUCCUACGGGAGGCAGCAGUGGGGAAUAUUGCACAAUGGGGGGAACCCUGAUGCAGCCAUGCCGCGUGAAUGAAGAAGGCCUUCGGGUUGUAAAGUUCUUUCGGUGGUGAGGAAGGUAUCAACUUUAAUAGAGUUGGUAAUGACG
rnacentral:rRNA from 1 species